GACGAACGCUGGCGGCGUGCCUAAUACAUGCAAGUAGGACGCUGAAGGCGGAGCUUGCUUCUCUGGAUGAGUUGCGAACGGGUGAGUAACGCGUAGGUAACCUGCCUGGUAGCGGGGGAUAACUAUUGGAAACGAUAGCUAAUACCGCAUAAUAGUAGAUGUUGCAUGACAUUUGCUUAAAAGGUGCACUUGCAUCACUACCAGAUGGACCUGCGUUGUAUUAGCUAGUUGGUGGGGUAACGGCUCACCAAGGGGACGUUACAUAGCCGACCUGAGAGGGUGAGCGCCCAAGCUGGGACGGAGACACGACCCAGACCCCUGCGGGAGGCAGAAGUAGGGAACUCUCGGCGAUGGAAGGAAGUGGGAACGAGGAACGACGCGUGAGUGAAGAAGGUUGUCGGAUCGUAAAGGUCAGGUGUAAGAGAAGAACGAGUGUGAGUGUGGAAAGUUCACACUGUGACGGUACCUUACCAGAAAGGGACGGCUAACUACGUG
rnacentral:rRNA from 1 species